rnacentral:rRNA from 1 species
CAACGCCGCGUGAGUGAUGAAGGUUUUCGGAUCGUAAAACUCUGUUGCAGGGAAGAACAAGUGCGAGAGUAACUGCUCGCACCUUGACGGUACCUGACCAGAAAGCCACGGCUAACUACGUGCCAGCAGCCGCGGUAAUACGUAGGUGGCAAGCGUUGUCCGGAAUUAUUGGGCGUAAAGCGCGCGCAGGCGGUUUCUUAAGUCUGAUGUGAAAGCCCCCGGCUCAACCGGGGAGGGUCAUUGGAAACUGGGAAACUUGAGUGCAGAAGAGGAGAGUGGAAUUCCACGUGUAGCGGUGAAAUGCGUAGAGAUGUGGAGGAACACCAGUGGCGAAGGCGACUCUCUGGUCUGUAACUGACGCUGAGGCGCGAAAGCGUGGGGAGCGAACAGGAUUAGAUACCCUGGUAGUCCACGCCGUAAACGAUGAGUGCUAAGUGUUAGAGGGUUUCCGCCCUUUAGUGCUGCAGCUAACGCAUUAAGCACUCCGCCUGGGGAGUACGGUCGCAAGACUGAAACUCAAAGGAAUUGACGGGGGCCCGCACAAGCGGUGGAGCAUGUGGUUUAAUUCGAAGCAACGCGAAGAACCUUACCAGGUCUUGACAUCCUUUGCCACUUCUAGAGAUAGAAGGUUCCCCUUCGGGGGACAAAGUGACAGGUGGUGCAUGGUUGUCGUCAGCUCGUGUCGUGAGAUGUUGGGUUAAGUCCCGCAACGAGCGCAACCCUUGAUCUUAGUUGCCAGCAUUCAGUUGGGCACUCUAAGGUGACUGCCGGUGACAAACCGGAGGAAGGUGGGGAUGACGUCAAAUCAUCAUGCCCCUUAUGACCUGGGCUACACACGUGCUACAAUGGAUGGUACAAAGGGCUGCGAGACCGCGAGGUUUAGCCAAUCCCAUAAAACCAUUCUCAGUUCGGAUUGCAGGCUGCAACUCGCCUGCAUGAAGCUGGAAUCGCUAGUAAUCGCGGAUCAGCAUGCCGCGGUGAAUACGUUCCCGGGSCU